UCUAACACAGUCCAUGGGAAGGGCCAGCGUGCUGAGUCCAAGGACCAACGUGCUGAUAUGUGUACUGAUGGACAUCCAUGGACAUCCUGUGUGUGCUGACGGACACACACAGACACACAUGGACAGCCACAGACGUCCUGUGUGUGCUGACGGACACACACGGACGUCCUGUGUGUGCCGACAGACACCCACGGACGUCCUGUGUGUGCUGACGGACACCCACGGACGUCCUGUGUGUGCUGACGGACACACACAGACACACACGGACAGCCACAGACAUCCUGUGUGUGCUGACGGACAGCCACAGACAGUCACAGACGUCCUAUGUGUGCUGGCGGACACCCACGGACGUCCUGUGUGUACUGAAUAGACAGCCCACGUGGGCCAAAAUCACCCGAACAGUCACGGGAAGGGCCAGCAUGCUGAGUCCAAGGACCAAUGUGCUGAUAUGUGUACUGAUGGACAGCCACGAACGUCCUGUUUGUGCUGACGGACACUGACGGACACACACGGACACACACGGACAGCCACGGCGUCCUGUGUGUGCUGGCAGACACCCACGGAUGUCCUGUUUGUACUGGAAGAGAAACGUCGAUACAACACUUGUCCAUGCAUUCUCGUAUAUCCUUUGAUGCAAUCUCCCGAAGACCGUAGCGAACUCAGUUCAUGUUUUCCGCCAAUCUAAAUCGUCGAUCAAACUUUGUGGUUAAAACCGCGGAAAGUUCGUUCUUUAUUGAAAGAAGUCUCAGUAAACACUUUGAAUUGGAAGACGGCCUAAAGGGAACUAAGACACGACUCGAGGCCCAUCCUACGAUUUUUUAACCAAUAGCCCGUAAACCGUAGCACGGUUUACGCUUGGCGCGCAAGGAAGGAUAAAUAUCAAGUUUCCGCGGAUAAAUACGAAAUUUUGAGGAUAAAUACGAAGAUCGGAAAAAAUGGAAUAUCUCCAUUUUAUGCUAUGACGGCUUAAGGGCAGAAGAGUAAAAGCGUAAACCGACCUUGGAGCGAGUAUAUAAGGAGUCCUAGGCGAGAGGGCUAUGACGGCUUAAGGGACUGUAGAGAAGCUUCCGUAUCGACCUUGGAGCGAGUAUAUAAGGAGUCCUAGGCGAGAGGCAUAAAAGGGAGAAUUUAGGCAUAUUUCCGUUUUUGUUAUUCGAGCUGCGACUCAAUUAGGUUAUUGCCGUCUUAAGGUUUUAGAACUAGGAAUCUCGCCAACAGCUCUCGUAGCCCAAGCACUUACUUUGUUGUAACGCUCAAACGCAAAUUCGAAAUAAGAUCUAUUGCGAUUUCUUAUAAUUUAUCGUCGUUAUUCUCGUGUUCUGAUUGCUUGCCGUGUGGUAUUAGCAGAUAUCCGGGACCUCUGGGAAAUUAGGGUUUUCCUUGUUUCCUUAUUUUAACGGAAAUCGACAGUGCAAAUUUCGGUUCCCACACUCAUAACCGCAUCAGGUCUCCAAGGUGAACAGCCUCUGGUCGAUGGAACAAUGUAGGCAAGGGAAGUCGGCAAAAUGGAUCCGUAACUUCGGGAAAAGGAUUGGAUCUGAGGGCUGGGCUCGAGGGUUCCAGUUCCUAACCCGUCGACUGUUGGCGGGCUGCUUGAGCUGCUAACGUGGCGAGAGCGAACUGCAUCGUGUCGGCCAGGGGACGGAGUGGGAACGACUCUUUCGGGAUCUUUCCCCGGGCGUCGAACAGCCAACUCAGAACUGGUACGGACAAGGGGAAUCCGACUGUUUAACUAAAACAAAGCAUUGCGAUGGUCCCUGCGGAUGCUAACGCAAUGUGAUUUCUGCCGAGUGCUCUGAAUGUCAAAGUGAUGAAAUUCAACCAAGCACGGGUAAAUGGCGAGAGUAACUAUGACUCUCUUAAGGUAGCCAAAUGCCUCGUAAUCUAAUUAGUGACACGCAUGAAUGGAUUAACGAGAUUCCCACUGUCCCUGUCUACUAUCCAGCGAAACCACAACCAAGGGAACGGGCUUGGCAGAAUCAGCGGGGAAAGAAGACCCUGUUGAGCUUGACUCUAGUCCGACUUUGUGAAAUGAAUUGAGAGGGGUAGAAUAAGUGGGAGCUCUGGCGCAAGUGAAAUACCACUACUUUUAACGUUAUUUUACUUACUCCGUGAAUCGGAGGCGGGGUAAAAGCUAAACGAGAACAUAAAUCUUGUGUGGAACAAAAGGGUAAAAGCUCGUUUUAUUCUGAUUUUCAGUACGAAUACGAACCGUGAAAGCGUGGCCUAUCGAUCCUUUAGACCUUUUGAAUGGGGCAGCCAAGCGUUCAUAGCGACGUUGCUUUUUGAUCUUUCGAUGUCGGCUCUUCGAAUCAUUGUGAAGCAGAAUUCACCAAGUGUUGGAUUGUUCACCCACCAAUAGGGAACGUGAGCUGGGUUUAGACCAUCGUGAGACAUGUUAGUUUUACCCUACUGAUGCCCGUGUCGCAAUAGUAAUUCAACCUAGCACGAGAGGAACCGUUGAUUCGCACAAUUGGUCAUCGCGCUUGGUUGAAAAGCCAGUGGCGCGAAGCUACCGUGCGCUGGAUUAUGACUGAACGCCUCUAAGUCAGAAUCUGAGCUAGAAGCGACGCAUGCGCCCCCGCCCAAUUGCCGACCCUCAGUAGGAGCUUCGGCUCCCAAAGGCACGUGUCGUUGGCUAAGUCCGUUUGGUGGAAGCGCCGUUCGGACCGCCUUGAAUUAUAAUUACCACCGAGCGGCAGAUAGAAUCCUUUGCAGAUGACUUAAAUACGCGACGGGGUAUUGUAAGUGGCUGAGUGGCCUUGCUGCCACGAUCCACUGAGAUUCUGCCCUUUGU
rnacentral:rRNA from 1 species